rnacentral:tRNA from 1 species
CACUAUGAAGCUGCUUCAGCAUUAACCUUUUAAGUUAAAGAUAGAGAAUAUAUAUAUAUUUUCUCCAUAGUGA